rnacentral:rRNA from 1 species
ACAGUUGGAAACGACUGCUAAGACUGGAUAGGAGAUAAGAAGGCAUCUUUUUAUUUUUAAAAGACCUAGCAAUAGGUAUGCUUAGGGAAGAGCUUGCGUCACAUUAGUUAGUUGGUGGGGUAAUGGCCUACCAAGACGAUGAUGUGUAGCCGGGCUGAGAGGUCGAACGGCCACAUUGGGACUGAGACACGGCCCAAACUCCUACGGGAGGCAGCAGUAAGGAAUUUUCGGCAAUGGAGGAAACUCUGACCGAGCAAUGCCGCGUGAACGAUGAAGUAUUUCGGUACGUAAAGUUCUUUUAUUAGGGAAGAAAAGAUGGUGGAAAAACCAUUAUGACGGUACCUAAUGAAUAAGCCCCGGCUAACUAUGUGCCAGCAGCCGCGGUAAUACAUAGGGGGCAAGCGUUAUCCGGAAUUAUUGGGCGUAAAGGGUGCGUAGGCGGUUAAAUAAGUUUAUGGUCUAAGUGCAACGCUCAACGUUGUGAUGCUAUAAAAACUGUUUAGCUAGAGUUGGAUAGAGGCAAGUGGAAUUCCGUGUGUAGUGGUAAAAUGCGUAAAUAUACGGAGGAACACCAGAAGCGAAGGCGGCUUGCUGGGUCUUAACUGACGCUGAGGCACGAAAGCGUGGGGAGCAAACAGGAUUAGAUACCCUGGUAGUCCACGCCCUAAACGAUGAGUACUAAACGUUGGAUAAAACCAGUGUUGAAGUUAACACAUUAAGUACUCCGCCUGAGUAGUACGUACGCAAGUAUGAAACUUAAAGGAAUUGACGGGACUCCGCACAAGCGGUGGAUCAUGUUGUUCAAUUCGAAGGUACCCGAAAAACCUCACCAGGUCUUGACAUGCUUUUGCAAAGCUGUAGAAAUACAGUGGAGGUUAUCAGAAGCACAGGUGGUGCAUGGUUGUCGUCAGCUCGUGUCGUGAGAUGUUGGGUUAAGUCCCGCAACGAGCGCAACCCUUGUUGUUAAUUGCCAUCAUUAAGUUGGGGACUUUAGCAAGACUGCCAAUGAUAAAUUGGAGGAAGGUGGGGACGACGUCAAAUCAUCAUGCCCCUUAUGACCUGGGCUACAAACGUGAUACAAUGGCUGUUACAAAGGGUAGCUAAAGCGUAAGCUUCUGGCGAAUCUCAAAAAAGCAGUCUCAGUUCGGAUUGAAGUCUGCAACUCGACUUCAUGAAGUUGGAAUCGCUAGUAAUCGCGAAUCAGCAUGUCGCGGUGAAUACGUUCUCGGGGUUUGUACACACCGCCCGUCAAACCACGAAAGUUGGCAAUACCCAAAGCCGGUGGCCUAACUUGAGCAAUCAAGAAGGAGCCGUCUAAGGUAGGGUUGAUGAUUGGGGUUAAGUCGUAACAAGGUAUCCCUACCGGAAGGUGGGGAUGGAUCACCUCCUUUCU